rnacentral:ncRNA from 1 species
AAUGAUAGAGGCGCGGUAAGCAAGAGUACCUUACGGAGAGGCAUCGGAGAAGUAAGGGAAAGGGGUUGCCGCCGAAGGGUUGCAUCCGGCGGGGUGUAGUUCCUGGGCCUGAGGUGAAUAAUUUCAGGACUGUCGUUGCAAGGCGGUAUUUGCCCUGCAGCGGAGAGCUAUCU